rnacentral:rRNA from 1 species
UACGUAGGGGGCAAGCGUUGUCCGGAAUCAUUGGGCGUAAAGAGCGUGUAGGCGGCUCGAUAAGUCUGCUGUGAAAGUCCAGGGCUCAACCCUGGAAGGCCGGUGGAAACUGUCGGGCUAGAGUCCGGAAGAGGCGAGUGGAAUUCCCGGUGUAGCGGUGAAAUGCGCAGAUAUCAGGAAGAACACCCGUGGCUAAGGCGGCUCUCUAGUACGGUACUGACGCCGAGACGCGAAAGCGUGGGGAGCGAACAGG